AAUAAAGGGGGAGAAAAAAAUAAAGGAGAAGAGGGGUUUUAAACCCUAACCCAUUCUGAAUCAAUCAAUUAAAAUCACACACAAACACUUGUUCAUUUCAAACAAACCCAUCCAACGAAAUAGCCACGAGAUGACAACGGAAGAAGAUGGAGGUCAGAAAAAGCGAGUGGUGGUUGAAUCAUUAGGAUGGCUAACAGAAUCAUCAAUUAUGCCUAAAAAGCACCGUGCAAUUUCCGGUGUUGGUCCCUCUUCAAUCCUUGAACUCAAAGCACAACUUUAUCAGUCCCAACAAGAUGCCAAAGUUAAUAAUGAUAAUAGUGAUCAACUUAAUCUCCAUCGUGCGAAAAAGAAGAUCGUUCCCUAUGAUACGUUCUCUGCCAAGAAUUCCGGUGUCGAUGCUCGUGCUCAUAAGGAUAAGCUCGAGAUGAAAGCAGUUAAAGAUGGUUCAGCCAGUUAUGCUGCCUUAGAGAAGAAAGCGGAGUUGUAUGAAAAGCUGGCAAGGGGAGAGUUAUCCGAUGAGGAAGAUAAAGAGAAAUAUUGUGUAGAUUUUUUCAGUAAAAGUGUUACAAAAGAGGAAUCACAUCAACCUCAAGGACAUGAUAUGUUUUUCACUAAAGUGGCAGAACGAGAUUCUGAUAAGGAUGAUGAGCCCGUGUUGCCUGAUGCAAGAGCUAUGGGACUCGGCAGGGCAGCUGGAACAGUAGACAAUGACGAGCACAAACGUUUUGUAAGGGAAGUUCAUGAAGAAGUGAACCAUGCACGGGAAAAAGCAUCUGAACUGAAGAUUUGCAGGCAAGAACAGGUGGCCGUGCGCCGAGAGAAGUUAAAACGUGCAUAUUUGAAGAAACAACUGGAGAAAUUGAAAGGUCAAUCUAAAGAAGGGAACAACACAUGAAUUUGCUUUCGAUAUGGACCGGAUUGGAACUAUCGGAUAGAUUCGUAAUUCUAGUUUGCUGUACUAUGAUGAGAUUUUCACCUCCCUCAGUUGAAUUUCCCAUUGUCACUGGCUCUGCUGUUAGUUUCACCUUUCGGUUUUGGUGUUGACAUUUGGUAAUGAUGUUGUUCGGCAGCAACUUGUACGCAGAUGGUGGUGCUUGUGAUAUUGACGAUGAUUAAGGGAUUUUUAUUUGUAUGUGGUCAUAUUCAAAACCUGUCUGCGGUAAAUGUAAGUUUGAAGCUAGGUCUUAGUCAAUUUCUUUAUUUGGUAUAAAAAUCUUUUUUCUUAGAUUCAAACUAGUGUUGCUAAUAUUAGUGCAUCGAACAACAUUUUACUACCAAUAGAACGACUUCACUUCA